AGCGAACGCUGGCGGCAGGCCUAACACAUGCAAGUCGAACGAACUCUUCGGAGUUAGUGGCGGACGGGUGAGUAACACGUGGGAACGUGCCUUUAGGUUCGGAAUAACUCAGGGAAACUUGUGCUAAUACCGAAUGUGCCCUUCGGGGGAAAGAUUUAUCGCCUUUAGAGCGGCCCGCGUCUGAUUAGCUAGUUGGUGAGGUAAAGGCUCACCAAGGCGACGAUCAGUAGCUGGUCUGAGAGGAUGAUCAGCCACAUUGGGACUGAGACACGGCCCCAACUCCUACGGGAGGCAGCAGUGGGGAAUCUUGCGCAAUGGGCGAAAGCCUGACGCAGCCAUGCCGCGUGAAUGAUGAAGGUCUUAGGAUUGUAAAAUUCUUUCACCGGGGACGAUAAUGACGGUACCCGGAGAAGAAGCCCCGGCUAACUUCGUG
rnacentral:rRNA from 1 species